CCCAUCGGCCCGCGCCCCAGCCCGCGGGCCCCCGCCCCCGGGCUCUGCGCUGACGCCGGACGGCCCCCGCCCCCACGCCCCCCGCCCCGGCCGGGGGGUAGCUCACCUGUUUGUCGGCGGGGCCGCUCCCGCUCGCCCCUCUGACUGACUCCUCCGGCUCACCGUCUUCCCUCUGGGAGGAAGGGGCGGGACUUCCGGCUUCGGCGCUCCCCACUUCCGGCGGCUCCCAGGACCACUCGUUCGGGGACGGGGCGCCGGGCAUCUUGGCCAGAACCCCGGAUCUUGGAACCGGGGCUAGUGAAGGCCACAUCGAGUUCUCCCUCCCUGUCCCGACGGGCCGGAGGGCCUGUAAACCUCUUGUGUUCAGUCUGGUGCCUCCUGCCGGUAGUCACUGGGCUGUGGAACAGGAAGUCCCGCCCCCUCCCCAAGUGAGGAAAACAGAAAAAUCGGAGAGGGCAGUUCCAGAUCAGUGAUUCUGAAUCAGAACAUUCAGGUGAUAAUCGUUUUUAAAUAGUCAUAUU
rnacentral:lncRNA from 1 species